rnacentral:piRNA from 1 species
UACAAGAGUUACGCAUCUUAAGUAUAUGCC